rnacentral:rRNA from 1 species
AUAUCAAUAAGCGGAGGAAAAGAAACUAACAAGGAUUCCCCUAGUAACGGCGAGUGAAGCGGGAAGAGCUCAAAUUUGUAAUCUGGCCUUUUCAAGGUCCGAGUUGUAAUCUCGAGAAGUGUUUUCCGCGUCGGACUGCAUAAAAGUCUAUUGGAAUAUAGCGUCAUAGUGGUGAGAGCCCCGUACUUGAUGCAGAUGCCCGAUGCUUUGUGAUACACUUUCGAAGAGUCGAGUUGUUUGGGAAUGCAGCUCAAAUUGGGUGGUAAAUUCCAUCUAAAGCUAAAUAUUGGCGAGAGACCGAUAGCGAACAAGUACCGUGAGGGAAAGAUGAAAAGCACUUUGGAAAGAGAGUUAACAGUACGUGAAAUUGUUGGAAGGGAAACGCUUGAAAUCAGACUUGCUAUUCGGAAUUCAGCCGCAAGGUGUACUUUUCGAUUUGCAGGCCAGCAUCAGUUUUCGGGAGUGAAAAAGGGUAAAGAGAAGGUGGCAACCUUGGUUGUGUUAUAGCUCUUUACUGGAUUCAUUUUUGGGGACUGAGGAUCGCAAUGCGCAAGUUUGACUUGCAAACCUCUCGAGGUUUUCGCAUUUAGGAUGCUGGUGGAAUGGUUUUAAACGACCCGUCUUGAAACACGGACCAAGGAGUCUAACAUGCUUGCGAGUGUUUGGGUGUCAAACCCGAACGCGCAAUGAAAGUGAAUGGAGGUGGGAUCCGCAAGGUGCACCAUCGACCGAUCUGGAUUUUCUAAGAUGGAUUUGAGUAAGAGCAAUUAUGUUGGGACCCGAAAGAUGGUGAACUAUGCCUGAAUAGGGCGAAGCCAGAGGAAACUCUGGUGGAGGCUCGUAGCGGUUCUGACGUGCAAAUCGAUCGUCAAAUUUGGGUAUAGGGGCGAAAGACUAAUCGAACCAUCUAGUAGCUGGUUCCUGC